rnacentral:snoRNA from 1 species
AAACCGUGGUGUGGGCAUUGGUUGGUAUAACUCCUGAACCGUUCUAAGCUUCACUAAAACUUUCGUUGUUGUGCUGCAUGAAACUUGAAAUCUGAUUCCUCAGCUU